rnacentral:rRNA from 1 species
AUUGAACGCUGGCGGCAGGCCUAACACAUGCAAGUCGAGCGGAUGAAGGGAGCUUGCUCCUGGAUUCAGCGGCGGACGGGUGAGUAAUGCCUAGGAAUCUGCCUGGUAGUGGGGGAUAACGUCCGGAAACGGGCGCUAAUACCGCAUACGUCCUGAGGGAGAAAGUGGGGGAUCUUCGGACCUCACGCUAUCAGAUGAGCCUAGGUCGGAUUAGCUAGUUGGUGGGGUAAAGGCCUACCAAGGCGACGAUCCGUAACUGGUCUGUGAGGAUGAUCAGUCACACUGGAACUGAGACACGGUCCAGACUCCUACGGGAGGCAGCAGUGGGGAAUAUUGGACAAUGGGCGAAAGCCUGAUCCAGCCCUGCCGCGUGUGUGAAGAAGGUCUUCGGAUUGUAAAGCACUUUAAGUUGGGAGGAAGGGCAGUAAGUUAAUACCUUGCUGUUUUGACGUUACCAACAGAAUAAGCACCGGCUAACUUCGUG